rnacentral:lncRNA from 1 species
UUUACAAAUAUAGUACCGGAGAGACUGCCAGCUCUCAUAUUAACAUCAUCAUCAAGGAUCUUCAAGUCCUGAUGUAAUUGUAUGAUGAGGAUCAAGGAACUUCUGGUCCUGAUCUGCAUACUGUAAAAAAACUCAUCAUACAGCACAUUUAAUCCAUAAAAUAAAUUGCUGGUAAAUAAAUUACUGGUAUGGACGAUAAACCCGUACCACACUUUAAAUAAAUGUAAAUGUGCGGUAAAUUAAAUUCAUAAAGUUAAGGUGCUUGUAUGGGCAUUAAUUCUGCUCCAUACAUUUAAAUAAAAGUAAAGGCGUAGACGAUAAACCCGCACCACCCUUUUAAAUAAAUGUAAAUGUGCGGUAAAUUAAAUUCAUAAAUUAAAUUGCUUGCUAUAUGGACGUUAAUCCCGCACCAUACCUUAAAUAAAAUUAAAUGUGCGGUAAAUUAAAUUCAUAAAGUAAAGGUGCUUGUAUGGGCAUUAAUUCUGCUCCAUACAUUUAAAUAAAAGUAAAGGCGUGGACGAUAAACCCGCACCACCCUUUUAAAUAAAUACUGUUGUAUGGGUAAUAAACCUACACUAUACAGUAAAUAUAAUAUAUUAUAUUACUUUAAGUAAAAGUAAAUUUACGGUAAAGUAAAGGCAAUUAUUGGUGGGUUCUCAUCAACACCACGAUCAAAUAGUAUAGCAGAUAAUAUUAUUAUCGUUUGUGGAAGGCAUCAUGCUUGUCUCUCAAAUCAAAUGCUUUCCACCUGUAAUCUGCACACAGUUGGUUUGCUCGUAUAUCUCUCUUGCAGACCACAGCUCCUCCACUACUUUUCUUCCUUACAUCAACAUAAGGGUUAGUAAUAUAGAUAAUAGUGCAACACAAAAAUUAUACCUGAGAGCUUCUCGUGCUGAUAACGUGUUAUAAAAUGAACUGGGAUAUGUGCGAAUAUUGAGCUGCACGUAAAGUAGAUGAGACACAGUAUUUAACGAGGUUCGGCUAUGCCUACGUCCUCGGAGAGCAACAGCAGUAACUUUUCACUAUAUGAAAUAAUAGGGCUACAACUUUAGUGUUUACAAUAUGUAUGGCUCACUCAAUUUUCUCUCUUGGAGAAUUUCUCUCUUGCUCUCUUUCCUCUCAACUCACUCACCC